UUACCACGAUAAAAAAAACUUCGGAAGGUAUACGGUCAUAGCCGUUCCGAAAGUACAGCAGCAGUAGGCAUCAAAAACGUUCCGAAAGUGAGGCCGUUGACAGAACAACCCUGGUUCUGAGUCCGAUGGGAAGGCCGCAGGCUCUCCGCGCCGGCUUCGCCUCUUCGAGGCGCCUUCCCCGUUAGAGCCUGCGUGCGCCUCGCUCUCACGCGCCGGAUCUGCCUCCGCCGACUGUUCCUCGGCCUCCGCUUCGCCCUCGGGUCGUCUUCUCUCUGGCCCGGGCGCUCCCCCCUCACCAGGGACCGAGGGCCCAGGACCACGGCCUCCCACCCCUUCCUAUGCCCCCCCCCCCCGGCUCGCUGUCCAGGCGUGCUCUGUGCACGUAGCCCCCGACUUCGUGCCUCCAGUCCGCCCGCUCCUCAACUCCGGGCUCACGCUUGGGUGUCACAUAGGCCUCUCAGACACCCGUGGCUCAAGGUUUGAGUGCCACCUGCAGUUCCCCGUCCCCGUUACCAGCAGCCCCAACCUCUGGGGACGUGGGCCGUCCCGCUUCCUCUCACACGUGGUCCGUCAGGCAACCCUGUUGGCCCCGCACUGGAACACGUGCAGGGCGCAUCCCACCAUCUCUCAGGCCCCCUGUGUCCACUCCCUGCUAUGAACCACCGUGUCUCUGCCCUGGGGGGGGGCACACUCCCCAUGCUCGCGCUGCCACCAGCCCACCAGGCAGCUAAACACUCUUAAGCCUAAUUGUGUAAUGGCUGCGCUCGGGGCUUUCACUUCCUACUGCCGACCCCCUGGCCUGUGCUGCUCCAGCCACCCGGCCUCCUCAGGGGUCCCUGCAUGCCACAGGCACACCUCUUUUUUCCUGCCCUUUGCCCCGGCUGUGUCCUCUCUGCCUGGGACACUGUCCCACAUCUCUUCUGUCCAGGGUCUCUCCUGGCCGCCUUCUGCCUGGAGCUCAGGGUUUCCUCCACACUCAGGUAGGUGGUUGGCAGAAUUCCGUUCCUUGCGGUUGUGGGGCCGAGAUCCCUCUUUCCUUGCUGGUUGUUGGCAGGCGAAGUCCUAGUGGCUCCCCUCACGCCCAGCCACCUGCGCCUGGCCCUCUCACACCCCACGACAGCCCACUUCUUUGCAGCCCCCUGUCUUCCACAGCUAAAGCGUGUGCAGAGAGAUUAGCUCAGCACAUUGGCGUGCACAGCUCCCCCAUCGUACCCACAUGCCCUCCCAGGGCCCUGCCCCUGGGGCGUCCCGUCAUCGCUGGAUUGCCGGUCCUGGAGCGGCGGCAUCACCGGGAGGGGGAGCUGCUUGCUGCCGGCUUGCUCGUCAGCGAGCCCACUGUGCAGACCACGUGACGCUUUGAGUCAGCUUCCGUGUAUGUAGGCCCCUGUCUGGCGGAGGGAGGAGCGCAGGGCGUUCCAGGCAAGGCGGCGCCCGGGGCCGUGCUGCACACCCCUGCUCGGGAAGGUACCGCCGUGUCUCCAAGAGGAGGGGCUGCCAAGAAAGGGUUGGGCCACGAGGUGAGGGAUGUCUGGCUUCUCUGUCGAGUGCAGCGAAAUGACGUCACUUGGAGGCUGGAGCAGUGUUCUGGGAUCCGAACUUGAGUAGCUGUCCACGGGAGAGCCAUGGAGGGACUUUUUCACAGCCUCUUGGAGGGGCUGUGCCCGGGAGUGCCCUAGCAAGAGCUACUUCCCCCCAUUUCUCUGGUCCCUCCGGCUCUCCUGACACCAGACACCAGAGCUGAAAUGCAGACAUGCCUCGCCCUGCCCUCUGAUUAAUGUGGUUACAUCCAU